rnacentral:lncRNA from 1 species
CUGGCUGGGCGGCGGGGCUGCGCUUCACUGCGCUGCGCUGCGCGGGGUUGGACUGAGCAGGGCUGGGCUGGCCCGGCUGCGCUGCGCGGGGCUGGACUGAGCUGAGCUGCGCUGCGCUGCGCGGGGCCGGGCUAGGCUGCCAGGGCUGGGCUGGGCAGGGCUGGGCUGGGCUCGGGCGGGCUGGGGGCGGCGCCGCGCGGCUCCGGGGCUCGGCUGGGCUCACUGCGCUAGCUCGCUCGCUCGCUCUCUCGCUCGCUCGGCGCGCCUCUGCUGGCCUCUGCUGGGGUCUGCUGCGUGCGCUGCAGCCGGGACUGGGAGCCGGCGCUGGAGCCGGCGCUGGAGCGGGGCCGGGCCGGGGCCGGGCCCGAGCCCAAGCCGGUGCAUGCCGCGUCCCUGCAUCUCCUGCCUGGCCGCCCGUCCGGCGGGCUCCGGCGGCCGCAUCGAGUUGGGGAGCAGGGGCCCGGUGCCGAGCAUCUGUGAGCCUCUGGGGGUCCACCUC